ACUGGGAUAACUCCGGGAAACCGGAGCUAAUACCGGAUAGUUCCUUGAACCGCAUGGUUCAAGGAUGAAAGACGGUUUCGGCUGUCACUUACAGAUGGACCCGCGGCGCAUUAGCUAGUUGGUGAGGUAACGGCUCACCAAGGCGACGAUGCGUAGCCGACCUGAGAGGGUGAUCGGCCACACUGGGACUGAGACACGGCCCAGACUCCUACGGGAGGCAGCAGUAGGGAAUCUUCCGCAAUGGACGAAAGUCUGACGGAGCAACGCCGCGUGAGUGAUGAAGGUUUUCGGAUCGUAAAGCUCUGUUGUUAGGGAAGAACAAGUGCAAGAGUAACUGCUUGCACCUUGACGGUACCUAACCAGAAAGCCACGGCUAACUACGUGCCAGCAGCCGCGGUAAUACGUAGGUGGCAAGCGUUGUCCGGAAUUAUUGGGCGUAAAGGGCUCGCAGGCGGUUUCUUAAGUCUGAUGUGAAAGCCCCCGGCUCAACCGGGGAGGGUCAUUGGAAACUGGGAAACUUGAGUGCAGAAGAGGAGAGUGGAAUUCCACGUGUAGCGGUGAAAUGCGUAGAGAUGUGGAGGAACACCAGUGGCGAAGGCGACUCUCUGGUCUGUAACUGACGCUGAGGAGCGAAAGCGUGGGGAGCGAACAGGAUUAGAUACCCUGGUAGUCCACGCCGUAAACGAUGAGUGCUAAGUGUUAGGGGGUUUCCGCCCCUUAGUGCUGCAGCUAACGCA
rnacentral:rRNA from 1 species